rnacentral:rRNA from 1 species
GGGCCCGCACAAGCGGUGGAGCAUGUGGUUUAAUUCGACGCAACGCGAAGAACCUUACCUGGGCUCGAAAUGUUAUGGACCGGAGUAGAAAUAUUCCUUCCCAGCAAUGGGCCGUAAUAUAGGUGCUGCAUGGCUGUCGUCAGCUCGUGUCGUGAGAUGUUGGGUUAAGUCCCGCAACGAGCGCAACCCUUAUCCCCAGUUGCCAUCAUUUAGUUGGGCACUCUGGUGAAACCGCCUCGGAUAACGGGGAGGAAGGUGGGGAUGACGUCAAGUCCUCAUGGCCUUUAUGUCCAGGGCUACACACGUGCUACAAUGGCCGGUACAAACCGUCGCAAACCCGCGAGGGGGAGCUAAUCGGAUAAAGCCGGCCUCAGUUCGGAUCGCAGUCUGCAACUCGACUGCGUGAAGCUGGAAUCGCUAGUAAUCGCGGAUCAGAAUGCCGCGGUGAAUACGUUCCCGGGCCUUGUACACACCGCCCGUCACAUCACGAAAGUGGGUUGCACUAGAAGUCGGUGAGCUAACCGCAAGGGAGCAGCCGCCCAAGGUGUAAUUCAUGAUUGGGGUGAAGUCGUAACAAGGUAGCCGUAGGAGAACCUGCGGCU